UGAGGAAUAUUGGUCAAUGGGCGCAAGCCUGAACCAGCCAAGUAGCGUGAAGGAUGACUGCCCUAUGGGUUGUAAACUUCUUUUAUGCGGGAAUAACCUCGACCAUGUAUGGUCGUUUGCAUGUACCGCAAGAAAAGCAUCGGCUAAUCCGUGCCAGCAGCCGCGGUAAUACGGAGAUGCGAGCGUUAUCCGGAUUUAUUGGGUUUAAAGGGUGCGUAGGCGGACCGUUAAGUCAGUGGUAAAAUUGAGAGGCUCAACCUCUUCCGGCCAUUGAAACUGGCGGACUUGAGUGAGCGAGAAGUAUGCGGAAUGCGUGGUGUAGCGGUGAAAUGCAUAGAUAUCACGCAGAACUCCGAUUGCGAAGGCAGCAUACCGGCGCUCAACUGACGCUGAGGCACGAAAGCGUGGGGAUCAAACAGGAUUAGAUACCCUGGUAGU
rnacentral:rRNA from 1 species